rnacentral:lncRNA from 12 species
AAGCAAUCCUGCCAGCAUAUAUGGAGUCAUUCAGGGCUACAGCUGUUAGUUACUAGCCCUGGUAGAACCAAAAUCAAGGGAGAGGGAAGACCUGAAACUCUACAGGGAAGAAGAACAUGAGUUGGUGAAGAAAGAGAAUACCUCCUGCAGCUUCCAGAAGCUCCACACUCGUGAGCAGGUAAAUGCUGGUGUGUUAAGUCCUGUCAUUGGUGUACAGGAUAGUGUUUGCCUGUAUCUGCAGCAUCCUUCAGUGUAACAGAG